CGGCAGCACGGAGCUUGCUCUGGUGGCGAGUGGCGAACGGGUGAGUAAUAUAUCGGAACGUACCCUAGAGUGGGGGAUAACGUAGCGAAAGUUACGCUAAUACCGCAUACGAUCUAAGGAUGAAAGUGGGGGAUCGCAAGACCUCAUGCUCGUGGAGCGGCCGAUAUCUGAUUAGCUAGUUGGUAGGGUAAAAGCCUACCAAGGCAUCGAUCAGUAGCUGGUCUGAGAGGACGACCAGCCACACUGGAACUGAGACACGGUCCAGACUCCUACGGGAGGCAGCAGUGGGGAAUUUUGGACAAUGGGCGAAAGCCUGAUCCAGCAAUGCCGCGUGAGUGAAGAAGGCCUUCGGGUUGUAAAGCUCUUUUGUCAGGGAAGAAACGGUGAGAGCUAAUAUCUUUUGCUAAUGACGGUACCUGAAGAAUAAGCACCGGCUAACUACGUGCCAGCAGCCGCGGUAAUACGUAGGGUGCAAGCGUUAAUCGGAAUUACUGGGCGUAAAGCGUGCGCAGGCGGUUUUGUAAGUCUGAUGUGAAAUCCCCGGGCUCAACCUGGGAAUUGCAUUGGAGACUGCAAGGCUAGAAUCUGGCAGAGGGGGGUAGAAUUCCACGUGUAGC
rnacentral:rRNA from 1 species